GACGGAGGAUGCAAGUGUUAUCCGGAAUCACUGGGCGUAAAGCGUCUGUAGGUGGUCAAAUAAGUCAACUGUUAAAUCUUGAGGCUUAACCUCAAAAUCGCAGUCGAAACUAUUAGACUAGAGUAUAGUAGGGGUAAAGGGAAUUUCCAGUGGAGCGGUGAAAUGGGUAGAGAUUGGAAAGAACACCGAUGGCGAAGGCACUUUACUGGGCUAUUACUAACACUCAGAGACGAAAGCUAGGGUAGCAAAUGGG
rnacentral:rRNA from 1 species